rnacentral:lncRNA from 1 species
AUAUGGAGGGCAGAUCUUCCACCCUCAGUUCACUAAGAUUCACAUGCAAAUCACCUCUGGAAUCAUCCUCACAGACAUACUAAAAAAUAAUGUUUUACCAGAUUUCCAGCCUAUUCACCAUGAAGAUGAUGAAGAUGAAAAUAUUUAUGAUGGCUCUACUUCCACUUAGUGAAUGAUUUAGAUCAAAUUCUGCCUUUGAAAACUUCACCUUUUUAUCUACAUGAAAGAUGGGGACAGAUGUUUCCAAUGCUUA